GUAGGGUGCGAGCGUUAAUCGGAAUUACUGGGCGUAACGCGUGCGCAGGCGGUUUUGUAAGCCAGAUGUGAAAUCCCCGGGCUUAACCUGGGAAUGGCAUUUGGGACUGCAAGGCUGGAGUGCGGCAGAGGAGACUGGAAUUCCUGGUGUAGCAGUGAAAUGCGUAGAUAUCAGGAGGAAUACCGAUGGCGAAGGCAGGUCUCUGGGCUGACACUGACGCUCAUGCACGAAAGCGUGGGGAGCAAACAGGAUUAGAUACCCUGGUAGUCCACGCCCUAAACGAUGUCGACUGGUUGUUGGGGGUUUGACACUCUCAGUAACGAAGCUAACGCGUGAAGUCGACCGCCUGGGGAGUACGGCCGCAAGGUUA
rnacentral:rRNA from 1 species